CAGGGGUUAGUUUAUUUAAAAUAUUGAUUUUGGGGAUCAAUGAUAAUUUUUUUUACCCUUGA
rnacentral:tRNA from 1 species